GUUACAGGAAGAUGAGCAACAAGCUGAGUAACUCCCCGUGGAGAAUCGAAGGAUGAGACAGCUCUCUAGGAAAUGUUCUUUUAAGCACAGAGUCUUAUGUUUGGCUACUAUAAAAAGUACCUAUGCCUAUAAUUUCCAGGGAUAGUGUGUCUCCUAGAGAAGGUCGCCAAACUGGCAAGUGUUAUCUUCAAGUCAUGCAAUGCUUUAUGGGAACAGAAAUUUACAAUAAAAAUUCUCCUCACUGCCACCUAUUGGAGGUAUCAUCACUCAAAGUAUGACCCUUAAAGAGCUUUGUAACAUGACUGGGGAUUAUCUGCCAUGCCAGAUGUUGGAAAAGACACAAGAACUUCAUAACAGCUGUCUACAGAGAGAUUUCUUCUUAGGCCCUUUACCAUUCAUUAAUGACAGGAACAUUAGGAGAACAGAAGAGCUCUGUCAUGUGAUUAGGGCACGGCGAGAUCCUGAUUACAGAUGAACCUGCCAACUCCAUCUUACGUAGCGGGCACCUCAGCUGAUUGCAUAAAUCAUGGUUUCCAUUAAAGCCGCGGGGAAUGUAUUUUCAUGUACUAUCAGGUUGACCUUUUGUAUUUGAACGACGAUAUUGAGUGGAAGUCAAUAAAAAGGACUGAAUAGUUAAAUUUAUCCUGACAUUUCAUUUUUGUUACCAAGAAUAUCGCUGAUAGCUGCAAAUGCAAUUACCCCUAUUACUAUAGUAACAGAUGACAACAUCAUUUCAGACCACUGCUUCCUUCCUCUGCACCUAGAAAAAAGUGCUGGAGAAUAUACAAGCUGGCGAGGGGAGGACCUUCUCCAUACCAAAACUCCCCCUUGAGGAACUGAAGAGCUGGGUCAGAGGAAAGAGUUAAAAG